UGCGUAGGCGGAAUAUUAAGUCAGUGGUGAAAUCCUGCGGCUCAACCGUAGAACUGCCAUUGAUACUGAUAUUCUUGAACGUAGUUGAGGUAGGCGGAAUGUGUAAUGUAGCGGUGAAAUGCUUAGAUAUUACACAGAACACCGAUUGCGAAGGCAGCUUACUAAACUAUGAUUGACGCUGAGGCACGAAAGCGUGGGGAGCGAACAGGAUUAGAUACCCUGGUAGUCC
rnacentral:rRNA from 1 species